UGAAUGGGCAAAGAAAAUGUGAUGCAUACAGACAUGGUUACCAAUACAUGAUUGUGUGAAGUUCAAUCUUUUUAGUGAGCACGGGAGACUUCUUCUUAAAGUAGGACAGCAUUUGUGUAAGAGCCACAGCAACACCAGGAGAAGAAGCCCCAGGAUUUAAGGAGUCAUCAAAAGAGCCUGGUGUAACCUGGUAACCAUGUAACAAGGUUGAAGGACUGGAAGAGAACCAGAGAGAGGCGGCUGGUGAUGUUGUAGCCGGUGGAGACCCCAGGGUUUUAGAGAUGGCAGGACUGGGAUGAGCACCAAGGACAGCAACAGCUGUGGAGGAGGCUGGCCUGAGCCUAUGAGAGACACCGGAUGAGUGACUCAACUAUAAGAAGACCAGACAGCCUUUGUCCUCAGGGAAAUAUGUAAAACAGGAACAAAAUCAGCAGUGUCCCGUUGACCAGAAAGCUGGCAAAAAGAUUGGUCUACAGAAGAACAGAGGAGUCUUCACAAAGAGAGAAAAUCUAUAAGCCUAAUAUUUUACAUAAAUGCAUUGACAAGUUACUGAAAUUCAUAGAAAUGGAAACUUUCAGAUUGGGAAAAAAAGGGUUCUGUGGAAGAGUGAUAAUAAGACACAUACAUGCUGACAAAAACAUACAGAAUGAAGAGUGAGUGGAAAACCCUGUAGAAGACAUUCAACUCCUCCAUGGCCCACAACACAUCACAAAAGAUAAAGCAAAAGAUGGUAAGAGUUGAAGGA